AUGUACAAAGGGUUUACACAAAGAGUGUACAAAUGAUGUACAAACGUUGUACCAAUUAUGUACAACGGAUGUAUAAAAGGUGUACAAAUGAUGUACGAAGGUUAUACAAAGGUUGCACAAUAGGUGUAGAAAGGGUGUACAAAGGCUGAACAAUGGGUAUAGAAAGAGUGUAUAAAGGUGAAUAAAGGGUGUACAAAGCAUGAAAAAAGGGUGUACAAAGGGUGUACAUAAGGUGUUCCAAAAUUUAGAUAGAUAUACAAAGCGUGUGCAAUGGGUGUACAAAUGGUGUAGAAAUGAUGUAGAAAGGGUGUAUAAAGGGUGUAUGUUGGGUGUACAAAUGGUGUAUAACGGUGUAAAAUGGCUGUACAAAGGACAUACAAAGGGUGUACAAUUGGUGUAUAAAGGGUGUACAAAUGGGGUACAAAGGGUGUAAAAAGGUUGUACAAAGGUUGUACGAAGGGUGUACAAAAGGGUAUACAAAGAGUGUAGAAAAGAUGUACGAAGGGUGUAAAAAAAUGUAGAAAGAUGUAGGAAGGGUGUAGAAAAGGUAUACAAAUAGUGUACAAAGAGUGUAUAAAGAGUGCAUAAAGAGUGCACAAAGAGUGUACAAAGGGUGUUCAGUGGGUGUACAUAGGGUGUAUAGAGGUGUAUAAAAGGUGUACAUAGGGUGUUCAAAGAGUGUACUAAGGGUGUACGAAGGCUGGACAAUGGGUGGAGAAAGUGUGUAUAAAGGUGAAUAAAGGGUGUACAAAGCAUGGACAAAGGGUGCACAAAGGUUGUACAUAAGGUGUUCCGAAAUUUAGAUAUAUAUAUAUAUAAAACGUGUACAAUGGGUGUAUAAAUGGUGUAGAAAUGAUGUAGAAAGGGUGUAUAAAGGGUGUAUAAAAGGUGUAUAAAGGGUGUAUAUUGGGUGUACAAACGGUGUACAUAAGGUUUACCAAAAUGUACAUAGAUAUAGAAAGGGUCUACAAUGGAUGAACAAAGGGAGUAGAAAUGAUGUAUAAAGGGUGUAUAAGUGGAAUAGAAAGCGUGUCGAAAUGGUGUACGAACGUUCUCCAAAUAUAUAGAAAUAGUUAGAAAGGGUCUACCAAUGGUUUACAAAGGGUGUACAAUAGGUGUAUAAUGCAUGUACAAAAUUAGUAGAAAGGGUAUACAAAGGGUGUACAAAGACUGUAUAAAGGGUGUUGAAAAUGUGUACAAAGGCUUUAAAAAUGAUGUAGAAUGGGUUUACAAAGGGUUUAUAAAAGGUGUACAAAUGGAGUAGAAAAGUUUUACAAAGGUAGUACCGAGGGUGUACAACAGGUAUAUAAAAGAUAUAGAAAGGGUGGACAAGGGUGUACAAAGUGAAUACAAAGGGUACAUAAAAUAUGUACAAACGGUGUACAAAAGGUUUAGUAGGGGUGUACAAAGGGUGUCUGAACGGUAAUAAAAGUGUUACAAAGGGUUUACACAAGAUGUACAAAGGGUGUACAAUGAUGUAGAUAGAUAUAGAAAAGGUGUACAAAGGGUUUACACAAAGAGUGUACAAAUGAUGUACAAACGUUGUACCAAUGAUGUACAAAGGGUGUGUAAAAGGUGUACAAAUUAUGUACGAAGGUUAUACAAAGGUGAAUAAAAGGUGUACAAAGCAUGAAAAAAUGGUGUACAAAGGGUGUACAUAAGGUGUUCCAAAAUUUAGAUAGAUAUACAAAGCGUGUGCAAUGGGUGUACAAAUGGUGUAGAAAUGAUGUAAAAAGGGUGUAUAAAGGGUGUACAAAUGGUGUACAAAGGGUGUAAAAAGGUUGUACAAAGGUUGUACGGAGGGUAUACAAAACGAAACACAAAGAGUGUAGAAAAGAUGUACGAAGGUUGUAAAAAAUGUAGAAAGAUGUAGGAAGGGUGUAGAAAAGGGAUACAAAUAGUGUACAAAGAGUGUAUAAAAGGUGCAUAAAGAGUGUACAAAGAGUGUACAAAGGGUGUGCGAUGGGUGUACAAAGGGUGUAUGGAAGUGUAUAAAAGGUGUACAUAGGGUGUUCAAAGAGUGUACUAAGGGUGUACAAAAGGCUGCACAAUGGGUGUAGAAAGUGUGUAUAAAGGUGAAUAAAGGGUGUACAAAGGAUGGACAAAGGGUGCACAAAGGGUGUACAUAAGGUGUUCCGAAAUUUAGAUAUAUAUAAAAAACGUGUACAAUGGGUGUAUAAAUGGUGUAGAAAUGUACAUAGAAAGGAUGUAUAAAGGGUGUAUAAAAGGUGUAUAAAGGGUGUAUAUUAGGUGUACAAACGGUGUACAUAAGGUGUACCAAAAUGUACAUAGAUAUAGAAAGGGUCUACAAUAGAUGUACAAAGGGUGUAGAAAUGAUGUAUAAAGGGUGAAUAAAUGGUAUCGAAAGCGUGUCGAAAUGGUGUACGAACGGUCUACAAAUAUAUAGAAAUAGUUAUAAAGGGUCUACCAAUGGUUUACAAAGGGUGUACAAUAGGUGUAUUAUGGGUGUACAAAAUUAGUACAAAGGGUAUACAAAGGGGUACAAAGACUGUAUAAGGGGUGUUGAAAGUGUGUACAUAGGCUUUAAAAAUGAUUUAGAGUGGGUUUACAAAGGGUUUAUAAAAGGUGUACAAAUGCAGUAGAAAAGUUGUACAAAGGUAGUACCGAGGGUGUACAAAAGG